rnacentral:lncRNA from 1 species
GAGGGGAAGGUCUAUAAAUUACGCCCCUUCGAAUAGCAAUUAUAUGCUCACAAAAAAACUUUCAUAAAUCAUAAAGAGUUAUUCUUAGCAUGGCGUUGCUUAGGUUUGCUUUCGUUUUAACCGUUCUUCUUAUGACAACCACUAGUUAGUUUCUAUCUCUCUUAUCUCUAUAUAUAUAGCGAUUUUACUUAUUACGCUUUGUUACUCUAUAUAUAUGGUUACAUAAGUGAUUGUGUACGUACAUAUGCGUAUAAGCAGAGUCAGAGCUAAUUAAAUCCAAUGAAAGGUAGUUAGUUGAACAUAUUUUACAAGAAAAUUAUAGUGUAUAUAUGACAAAUAUUACUUUUUAAAACAUAUAUAUAUAUAUUAAAUCCUGAAAAUUCUUAACGAAAUUCUUGACUUCGCUACUAUAUACAUGGUCUUCAAAGUGUUUCUAUACAUAUUAUUUGGAUGUGUGUUUUUCAUUCAUGUAAUACUUCUCAUCAUUUGAUUCUGAUCAGUUUUUAUUAUGAUAAAUUUCAGUCAAUAUGUCGUGGUUCUCAGAGACACAAGUACUGGCUUCACGGGAUAUUGAUAGCAAUCUCUUGGGACUUGAGAAGAGGCUAUUCUCAUCACUUAAUCUUAUGACUUGUGGGAGAGAUUGUGUUUACAAUGAUUGUAAAGAUGAUUGUUGGAUUUGCUGUAGAUGUGUUAGAUCUGGUUGUGUGUUAUAAUGCAAAUUGUUGGUAGAUUGGCGCAUUAGCGUCCAAUUACAACCAACCCUAAAACCUCAUAUUAUGUAUUUACCUUUUCAUAUUAUGUAUUUACCUUUUCUAGUGUGAGUUGUGUGUUUUCCUCAUCUUUUCUUGCUUUGUACGAAUAUAAUAAUAAAACUUUCUAGUUUUAUUUGUACUCAAAGUUGAACAGUGUUGGUUGAAGAAUGAACUAGAGGUUUGGUGGCAAU